CUGUUUGCUCAGCCUGAUAAUGUCUUCACAUAGGACUUAAUGAACUCAUUACCCUUAAUGCCAUCGUAACAAGAGAGCUUGAUUAAUUAAGGGAGACCUGGAAAUGGCAACUUCAAAGCUGGUAGAAAAACUCAGAAUCUGCUCAGGAAUAAUGGUUACUGUGAAGGCGUUCUCUUUAACAGUGACUUUCUCACUACUUUACUUCAGUACAAAGAAAAUAAAAGGGACACUUGUAGCUGAAGCCACAGGCUACAACAUGAGCCUCAUGGUGUCUCCUCCGGAAAAGCAAUGACGGAAGAAAACAGGCUACAGACAUGGCUUUCCUGCAGACCUACAGUGCCCUGCGAUUAGUCUGGCCACCCUCCAGGAAGAGCAC
ensembl:lncRNA